rnacentral:rRNA from 1 species
UACCAGCACCCCGAGUGGUCGGGACGUUUAUUGGGCCUAAAGCAUCCGUAGCCGGUUCUACAAGUCUUCCGUUAAAUCCAACUGCUUAACAGGUGGGCUGCGGAAGAUACUAUAGAGCUAGGAGGCGGGAGAGGCAAGCGGUACUCGAUGGGUAGGGGUAAAAUCCGUUGAUCCAUUGAAGACCACCAGUGGCGAAGGCGGCUGGCGAGAACGCGCUCGACGGUGAGGGAUGAAAGCGGGGGGAGCAAACCGG